AAAGCCCUAGGGGCAGUGGCCAGAGCCUGGGCAUCCGGCACCUCUCAGCCUUGAGUGCCAUGGAAGGGCCUUUGCUGAGGCCUUUGAUGCUGGUUCUGGCC